GACGAACGCUGGCGGCGUGCUUAACACAUGCAAGUCGAGCGGUAAGGCCCUUUCGGGGGUACACGAGCGGCGAACGGGUGAGUAACACGUGGGUGACCUGCCCUCAGCUCUGGGAUAAGCCUGGGAAACCGGGUCUAAUACUGGAUAUGACUCCAUGACGCAUGUUGUGGGGUGGAAAGCCUUGUGCGGCUGAGGAUGGGCCCGCGGCCUAUCAGCUUGUUGGUGGGGUGANGGCCUACCAAGGCGACGACGGGUAGCCAGCCUGAGAGGGCGACCGGCCACACUGGGACUGAGACACGGCCCAGACUCCUACGGGAGGCAGCAGUGGGGAAUCUUGCGCAAUGGGCGAAAGCCUGACGCAGCGACGCCGCGUGAGGGAUGACGGCCU
rnacentral:rRNA from 1 species